UGUAAGCGUAUACCAAAGUUGUUGCAGUUAAAACGCUCGUAGUCGGAAUUUGGCAGUUCCGGAAGUGUGCACGUCGUGUGCGCACUUUGCGGGGACUGCUUUUGUGGUCUUGCGUAGGAUGAGGCACUUUCAUUAGUGAACGUCCUCACGCAACCACUCUUUACUGUGAGAAAAUCAGAGUGCUCAAAGCAGGCAUUUGCCGUGAAUGUAUUAGCAUGGAAUAAUAGAAUAGGACUCGGUUCUAUUUUGCUGGUUUGUUGGGACUGAGUAAUGAUUAAGAGGGACAGUUGGGGGCAUUUGUAUUCCGGCGCUAGAGGUGAAAUUCUUUGAUUGCCGGAAGACAAACUGCUGCGAAAGCGUCUGCCAAGGAUGUUUUCAUUGA
rnacentral:rRNA from 1 species